GGGUAGAUAGGCCGGAGGUGGAAGCCCCGAGAGGGGUGCAGCUGACCGGUACUAAUACACCGAGGCCUUGUCCUUA
rnacentral:rRNA from 1 species